CUCAGUCUGGAUCCCUUUAACCCAACAACUCCUGCUGCUACUCGUCUUGCCGCCGCCCCCUGCAGCUGCUGCUGCUGCUCCUGUUCCGGGAGAAACUGCAGAUGCUAAAGGCUGUCAGGAAUGAAGAGCCCCAGAAUUCACCAAGCAUGAAGAGCCCAAGAAUCCUCCAAGCAAUGAAUGAACCAAGAAUCACAAGAAUGAAGACCCUGAAUGUCUCUCAGGCUCCCACUUAUAUAUACUGCCCAGGGUGGGGCAGUACUUGUGGUCUGUUAGGGCGUGAACUUUCUUUGUUAGUGACUUACUAAAUGUUAAGUAGGGGUACUUUAAGUUCUUGAUUGAUUAACUUAAAAUAGACAAAGGGAAUAAAAAUUACCUUUUGCAUCUCA